GUGAAUCAUCGAAUUUUUGAACGCAAAUUGCACUCUCCGGUUUUCCGGGAGAGUAUGCCUGUUUGAGGGUCUGUUUAAAAAAUAAUCGAGGCUGCUGCUGUGGUGGCGCUUCGGAAUUGGGUCAUCUUCCACCUUUCGGGGUUGUAAGCGACCUAAAAUUUUUCUUACGAUUUCUACGAACGUGUCUAAGAAUUUCUUGUACGUUCGCGACAUCGAAAUCAUAUUAGGGGCGACCGCCGCGUCGGGUUCGCUCCCAUAAUGUAUCAUCUAAGGACCUCAGACAGGUAAGAGUACCCGCUGA
rnacentral:misc_RNA from 1 species